rnacentral:lncRNA from 1 species
GGUCCCCCGGGCCUCCAGGGCUCAGAUGGAACGACAGGGAGGCCAGGACCCAGAGGAAGCAAAGGGCCUGUGGGGCCCGAAGGUCCAGACGGACCAGCAGGAAUACCAGGAGUGGUAGGUGCUGAUGGACUAAUAGGACCAGCAGGGGAAAGAGGAGAAAUGGUAAGUACAAGUAAAACAACAUGAUGCCAAUCAUUUAUCAUGGGUGGAAAAUUUGUCAUAACCUUUUCAAGAAAUUCUGGUCUAUGAAUUAUGUAUUUCUUGCUUAUUGCCAGCACAUUGUUUUGGUACUUCACAGGGGAUGCUCGGACCUCCAGGUGAUCUUGGUCCUCCUGGACUGGACGGGGAAAAGGUUUGUAGGAUUUCUAGCAGUAACCCUAUGGAAUAUGGCUGGUGAGCUUCCUGGCAAUUAUCUUCCCUUCUCCUGUUUCCAGGGUCCUCCUGGCCGAUCAGGGUUGGAGGGGCCACAAGGACCAAAAGGAGAACAGGGGGACCUAGGGUCUUGUGGGAAGCUGGGUCCUCCAGGACAUGCUGGAGAUCGAGGUCUACAGGGGCUCAAAGGCUUGCAAGGCUCUCCUGGGCCAAUGGGAAAAGAGGGUAAUGUUGGACUUCCUGGUCUUGAUGGUGGCUCAGGUCCCAAAGGGAAGAAGGUAAACCAACACUUGUCCAUGCUACCUAUCUAUCCAUUUAUUAAAGCUCAUACAGUCCCCCCCAAAAGUAUUGGAACGGUAAGGCAAAUUCCUUUGUUUUUGUUGUUCACUGAAGACAUUUGGGUUUAAGAUCAAAAGAUGAGUAUGAGACAAGAGUUCAGAAUUUCAGCUUUUAUUUCCUGGUAUUCACAUGUAGAUGUGUUAAAAAACUCAUGACAUACCA